CCAUCACUCUAAAUGCAGCACAAACAUGUUCUCUUCAGCUCCACUGCUGCUGCUGGCUGCUGCCUCGUAUGUGUUCUGUGCUACUGAGCUCAUCCAGCCAGACUCAGUGCUCAUCAAACCAGCAGAGCCUUUAACCAUCACCUGUACAGUAUCUGGAGCUUCUAUCACUGACAGUAGCAGCCAUUAUGCAACAAACUGGAUCCGACAACCUGCAGGAAAAGCUCUGGAAUGGAUCAACAGAAUUCGUUAUGAUGGAGACAUAUAUGCUAAAGAUUCACUGAAAAGCAAGUUUAGUGUCUCUCGAGACACAACCAGAAACACAGUAACCCUACAAGGACAGAAUCUGCAAGCUGAAGACACAGCUGUGUAUUACUGUGCACGAGUUGCACACCGACAGAAAAGGCCAGAUGGCUGUUCAAAAACUGUUAAACCACAUUUUACAACUUGA